UUUCACUAAAAAUGAAUCAGAAUCAGAAGAAUUUAUUGUCAUUGUCAGAAAGACAACGAAAUUGCAGUUUCAGUUACAACCAUCCAUUACACAACAACAAGAGGGGGAG